CUUUUUUCUUUUCUUUUUUCUUUUCUUUUUUCUUUUCUUUUUUCUUUU
rnacentral:ribozyme from 14 species